rnacentral:rRNA from 1 species
CAGUAGCCGCGGUAAAACGGAGGGGGCUAGCGUUGUUCGGAAUUACUGGGCGUAAAGCGUACGUAGGCGGUUUUGUAAGUUAGAGGUGAAAGCCCGGAGCUCAACUCCGGAAUUGCCUUUAAGACUGCAUCACUUGAACGUCGGAGAGGUGAGUGGAAUUCCGAGUGUAGAGGUGAAAUUCGUAGAUAUUCGGAAGAACACCAGUGGCGAAGGCGGCUCACUGGACGACUGUUGACGCUGAGGUACGAAAGCGUGGGGAGCAAACAGGAUUAGAUACCCCCGUAGUCCCUGUCUCUUAUAC